GAACCUCUUGCUCCAUAUACUAAAAUUAGCUGACCGUUAUUUUCAUAUAUGAACCAAAGAGGUGUUUGUCUACAACGUACACAGUUACCAAGAUGCCUUCAGGUAGUCUGGGUUUCACUACAAUAGCUGUGAAGCACCUAUUAUAAACUAAGUACUCUUAUACAUGAAAAGUACACAAUUCCUACCCCAUAGAAAAUAGAGUAUAGACAGGGGCAGUAUAAGUAAACAAAACAAUGACAGGACAAUGCAAAGAGAGCAUCAGCAGCAAAAAGCUCUGUGCCAUCUGGGUAAGAGAUGAUACAGAAGGGGGAAUGGUUAACUUGUUCUAGAGGCAUCAGGAAAUGUUUCAAGCAAGAGAGAAAAUCCAGGAUGAUGUUCUCCUACAAGAAACCUAAAAAAAUCAAGGAAAGUAUAUUUCUUUAUAUUUAAACAUGCUUUUCUAACCCUGAGUUUUUCAUUUAAUGAGGAAUAUAUUAUAAAGAAGAGUGGUAAAUGUUACUGAGUUGUCCUUAACCUUCAAAAAAGUUUUAACUAUGUGCUGUAGAUAAAAACUAUAAUACUUAAGGAUCUAUAUCUUCUCACCAGAUUUUCCAAGUGUGUUAAUAAUAAAUCUACUCUGGAAAAAUAUUACCUAUGAUUAAACUACAUUCCCCGUUAUUGACCUUUACGACCUCAUGCUUCCUUUGCUAGGGUGCUAUAAUUACCUCAUAAAAGAAAGGGUAGAGUAACAGGACCCAUGAAGAUAAAAAACAUCCACUGAAUUUCCCUCACUCAAGCUAUCAUCUGGAAUCUCUGAGUCUCUCAACCUUUUUCUAAAGCUAUUAAUAUUAUUGCUGUGUUGACCUUUGCUGCUGUUUGCCAUUUUGAAAUUUACAGAUCAGCAAGCACCAGUAAAUCUUGUCAGAAUUAAUGCAAAUGUAAGACACAGUCAUUACAGGCUCCUCACGGUAAAGAAUAGCUUGCUACAAUGUUAUUACCGAGACACAAUUUAUCCUGAUUGCCAGAAAGAUGAGACACCCUGAAUAUAAGCAGUAAACUGGCUCUGAGAAAUAAAUCUCACUGGCAUUGCCCACACAGAAGUUUGCUCACGCGGAUGAAUGCUGUCAGUGCAGCGAGUGGCGGAGUGAUUGAUUCACUCCCGUACAUCUCCCAUCUCCCCCUGCUGGAGAAUGAAAGUUAAUUUGCUCUCAUUCAUUCUGUUCACCACACUAGAUGUUUUUAAGGGUUGAACUCAGAAAAUGAAGACAAGUAAAUAAUGGUUUCGAUGACUUUUUUUCCCGGCAGUGGAUGUGCCUUCAUAUUUCAACCCUGCACAUUUCUUUCAUAGGGUAGCUAUGAUUAAUAUACCAAUGAAUUCCAAGUCAAACAGGAAACAUUAUUUGCUCUGUUGGAUGAGCUUAUGUUUCUGAUAUAUAAAAAAGUGAUUCCAUAAAAGAAUUGAGGAUAUAUAGGUAGCAAAAUUCCAGUUCAUGACAAUUUCAUCUUCUCAGUGCAUUUUUAAAUCACUUUUUCUCUAUGAAAAAUUCUUGCAAUGAUAUUAAAGAACUAAGAAUUUUAAUGUAGUCUUCUUUAAAGAAUAGAGUGAAUGUUGGUGGCCAAAAGAAUGAGAGUUAUGAUCAACUCAGUAUACCACUGGAGGCUACAGGAGCAAACAGCAAACUGUUUCUCAUGAAAGCAGGAUGUUCAAAGCAGGAUGUUGGCAAAAUGACAAACUGCAUCUGCCACCCAGAAGGAAUGCUGAGGGCAGUCAUGCCCCAAGUGCAGUGUUUUUGUGAUUAGGCACAACUGAAGCUUGUUAGCAAUAAUAUGACCCUGUGAUUAAUUGAGCGGCUGACCAAUCAUUACCUCCUCCUCCCUGCUCUUUCUACCCAAUAAAUACAAAGGGCUGUGGAAGCUCAAUGGGCUGCCUUUGCUCAUUAGAAGCAGGGAGCUCUCUUCUUCUUCCCCUGGAUCCUUCCUUUAAAAUAGUUUCUUUUGUCUUAAGUUUUCAUUUCUACGUUUGUCCCUUCAUUCAGUCUCUUAAAUGACGGUCUCAAGCAGUAACAGUAGUAAUUGCUGUAAUGACGGUCUCAAGUAGUAACCAGGGCACUCUGCCACAAGUGGCACCUGAACAGGGACUAACAGGGACUAUCAAGAACAAACGGAGACCUGAAGAGACCUGAAGGGAACUGAAGAGGUCUGCAGGGACAAAUAGAGAUAAGUAGGGAUAAAUAGAGAUAAAUAGAGACAAAUAGAGAUAGGUAAGGAAUGACAGGGACUUGCAGGAAGUAACAGGGACCAUAGGGACAGAUAGGGAUAGAUAAAGACUAGCAAAGACUAGCCGAGAUUAGCAAAGACCAGCAAGGACUAGCAGAGACUAGCAAAGACUAGCAGAAACUUGCAGGGACAGGCAGAGACAGAUAGGGACAGAUAGGGUCCUACAGGGACUUGAACGAGGAAGAUCUGCUGGAAAAGAAAAGAACUACAACCAACCAGAUGAACAAGAAACCCUGUUACAAGUCUGCUGGCAGCAACAUAAGUGACACAAAGUGAACCGGGUUCUAUAAAUUACCAUGGAAAGUGGUGAGCCAACGAUUUGGCAGAACAAAACCCUGAGGAUAUGCAAACAAAAGGGACUAUGGAAUUUGCAAUUGCAGAUUAAAAUUGAAGAAGAAAACAUUUGAGUUGCAAAUACCGUAUUAAAAGUGGACACUGCUUAUGACUGCUGUAUGCAACAGUUUUUCAGGCCCGAGGUGAUAAAUAAAAAAUUGUUUGCUCUAUUUAACCAGGAACCCAGACAUGCUCUAUUUGCAAACCGACUGCAUGAAACAAAAAGCACGGUAAUUCUGAAGCUGUUGGCUUGGAUGAAAUGAGAAUGUAAUUAAAAAGAAAAAGGUUAGCAAAAGAACAUGCUGGGAAUUGAAAAUAAAAAUCUGAAAUGAUGUCCCAGCCUGCCCUUAAGGUCUUUUCCACCAUGUAGAGAGCUACCUCAAAUGCUCUACUUGUCCCAGAGUCUAUGUUCUUUCACUACUAUUGCCUAUAUCUGUGUUUUCUGCUUUCAAUAAUCUAUUGAAAUAAUCAAAAUUAAUUACAUUCAGCAUUUUUUCUGUAUUACUCUGAUUCUAAUAAUUACCUCAAAUUUAUUUGUGCAUUUCUAUACUAGAAAGAAAAAAUAAUUUUUAGAGUUUUACUAUAUCUUCCCCUUAAUUCUAAGUUGCUUGUCACUAAUUCCUUUCCCAACACUAUGUUAUUUCCACCAAGAACAUUACCAAUAUCUUCAGGAAAAUUCCACCCCAUAUUUUAAGCCAGAUUGAUUAUUGGGAAUAUAAAUACAUUUAAGAAGGAAAGUCUUUUUGACUGUGUUUCUCCACAGACCAAUAGUAUACAAAACACAGAAGGCUUUUAAGCACAUUUCAUAGGGAUCACUGACUUAGAACAGAAGGAACCAUUUCGUGAAACACUCUCAUUUUGCACAUAAAGGAGCUGUGGCCCACAGAGGAAUAUGAUUUACUGAGAGUGACCCAGUUAGUGGCCAUAAACCAAAAGCCCCAAGAUGCUAAAUGUUUGUUAUGAAGAGUAAAAAUCCUCCCAGUUUAUAAGAAGUAACUUCAUCCUUCCAUUUUCUAUUUCCACGAUGACUCCCCUGGCUUAAAUUUUAAUCUCUAUUUUGGAUGACUCCAAAAUCUCAUUCUUCUAAAUUAAUUAUCUAAUACCACAAUGUUGCACUUAUCUUCCUACAAAUCUACUUUCAUCUGCCUUGACAAAGCCAACCCUAAUUUUCUCUAGUCCUCAUUAGAAAUUAUUGCAACAAAAAUUCACAUCCAGUCUGAAGUUUGGGAGCCAGAAAAGAAUUUUCCCAUUAAGAUGAGACAGUAUCAAUUAUUAAGCAGAGGAAGACACAAGAGGGAAAGCAGCUUUCACAUGAAAAAAAAAGAACUCUGAUUUUCUGACACAUUUUGUCAUUGCAGUCAAACUUUCAGAGUUAGAACUAGAGACCUAGAUAUUAGCUAACCCAGCAUUUUCCAAGUAUUCCUCGGAACUCUAGAGGCACAGCAUAGUACUGGUAAUGAUUUUGUGGCAGGAUAGAUUAAGGAAACCUCACAGUUAUACCAAGUUAAAUUCAUUUAUUUCAUGUAAAAUUCUGAUAGCCUUUUAUGCUACUAGGCCUAGUGAUACUCCAAAAUUAUUGGCCAUAUAUCUGAAAUUUAUUUCAGCAAGAAACCCUUUAAAGAGCAUCCCGCAGAGUUAGUGUUUUGAGGGAUAUCAUUGGGGAAAAUGCUGAUCUAGACCAAUUCAACAAAUUGUAACUUAGUUAACACCAGAGUCAAAACAAAAACCAAGUCUACUCAUGUCUGUCUUAGGCCCUUUUGGUCACAAAAACACGUUCAAACCACUUCAAUUAAGAAAAUGGUGAGAGGGGAAAAGACAAGCAGGGAACCUUAUCCCAGGUGGGCUGAUCACAGGACUUCCAAGGCUGUCCCUUAGAAGAGUCACGAUAAUGGCAUCUCUAGCACAAAACUCAAAUUUAGUUUUAAUUCUUAGUCGAAUAAUAAUACAGUAAAAUUUAUUGCAUGCAUAAGGAUAAUACAUUAAAACUACUUAAAUUACAUUUUAGGGCCGGGCGCGGUGGCUCACGCCUGUAAUCCCAGCACUUUGGGAGGCCGAGGCGGGUGGAUCACGAGGUCAGGA
rnacentral:lncRNA from 10 species